rnacentral:rRNA from 1 species
UGGGGAAUAUUGGACAAUGGGCGCAAGCCUGAUCCAGCAAUGCCGCGUGUGUGAAGAAGGCCUUCGGGUUGUAAAGUACUUUUAUCAGGAGCGAAACGCUGUCGGCUAAUACCCGGCGGAACUGACGGUACCUGAGGAAUAAGCACCGGCUAACUUCGUGCCAGCAGCCGCGGUAAUACGAAGGGUGCAAGCGUUAAUCGGAAUUACUGGGCGUAAAGCGUGCGUAGGCGGUUUCUUAAGUCUGCUGUGAAAUCCCCGGGCUCAACCUGGGAAUGGCAGUGGAUACUGGGAGGCUAGNNAGUGUGUCAGAGGGUGGUGGAAUUCCCGGUGUAGCGGUGAAAUGCGUAGAGAUCGGGAGGAGCAUCAGUGGCGAAGGCGGCCACCUGGGACAACACUGACGCUGAGGCACGAAAAGCGUGGGGAGCAAACAGGAUUAGAUACCCUGGUAGUCCACGCCCUAAACGAUGCGAACUGGAUGUUGGUCUCAACUCGGAGAUCAGUGUCGAAGCUAACGCGUUAAGUUCGCCGCCUGGGGAGUACGGUCGCAAGACUGAAACUCAAAUGAAUUGA